rnacentral:lncRNA from 1 species
UGGGGUCACGGAUCUCAGCAGCCCAUUUUCCCCAUGGACGCUGCCUAAUUCCCCUAUAUUGAUUCUUCCUCUUUCUUUCUGUGGAUUUUUUAGCUUGUUCAACGUGCUUCACGGCUGUAGAUCCAUCAAUGAUUGGGGAAAAAAGAAAAAAAAAAGUUAUUUCAUACACAAGCAGCACAACCAAAUCAUAAAGAGAAGCGAAUUUCAUAAAGAACUCCCAUCAUUAAUGAUAGAACACACUAGUAACCAAACUGAAUAACUUUAUAUACCAUCAUCAACAUCGUGUAGUCACGCAAUUCUAUGUACAACAAGAAAUCCAUUGUUUUCCAUUACAAGAUCAGAAAAAUGAAUUUUCCCACUAUCUAUAACUGCAACACACUAAAAACCAAACAAAUGACAAAGAGAUAACUGAAAAAAUUACUGCCAAAUGGUUACACAAAAAGGUAGAUCAAGUGAUAAUUUUAUCUACUCUUAAGAUCCCAGAACCGAAAAUUUCAACCAUUUCACAUAAAACAAAAUAUAGAAAAAAAAAAAAAGAGGAAAAAUUUAAGCUUCCAUUUUAUAAAGCUAAGCAACAGAAACCUCUAAUCCAACCAAUAUAAUAGAUCAUGUCAAUAGAUGCUUGAUUUGACUGACCAAGCAAACUAGUGAAUAGUCUAUGCAAGUCUGGACAUCCCAUCUAUCUAAACAAAGAAGAAAAAAUUCCAAGAAAGAACAUCUCUAAAAUAUGAUCAUCAGAAUUAUCAUCGAACAUCUGCAUCACAAAACUAACUUCCAACGGCACAAAUUAAAAAUGUCAAUUCAAGGACAAAAGAAAAGCUUGAUUGGAACAAAUGAUCCACAAACCAGGAUCAAAAGCCAACAAGGACUUUAAACGCCAACCCAACAAGCAACUUCUUUUAUACAAAACAAAAAUCAGAACUUUAGAUGACAAUCAGCGCCAAGUCAUAAAAAUUUAUUUUUACCCUAAAAUAAAGACAAAGGAAAGUGAAGAUCAAUAUAUCCCAUUAGAUCAAAGCAUCUACUCAAAUUCCAUAACUUGUUAAAAAUUAAAUUAAAAAAAAACCGUUGUUAGAAAUAAUAAUUUUCCAAACCAAAGCAUCUCUACAUAGCGAUGAGCAUCAUCAACCACACGCUGAAAACACAUACCCACUUACAAAAACACAUAUUUACACACACAAGCUAACGCAUUUUAUCAUUCAAAACCUAACUAACAAACAAUACACACACACACACACACAAAAAGAUGAUCAGGUAUAAUAAUAACAAAAACAUUAAAAAAAAACUUGAACUGGGUGUAUUCAAAAAAUGGUUACCAUGAGACUUGCGACCAGCUGAGAAAGUAAAAGGCUUAAUAUCAGCCAUCAUCAAGUCGGCAUCAACGUCCACGUCACCAUCAAUGUCAGACUCUUCUUCAUCGUCCUUGAAUCCUUGGAAAUCAGCCUCGAAAUCAUCGUCGACGAUCGGCUUUGAGUACUUCUUGUUGGAUGACCUCUUCAGCUCCGGCCAGAGAUACUCCGCCGUCAGCUUCUUUGGACGGCCCGGCACGGUGGGCGGGAUGUAGCCCGAAAUGAUAGCACCUCCACACAUGGUUAAGGGUUUAUCGUUUCUUCUGGUUUGUUCAGGGACUAAAGAGAAAAGAUUUUUAGAAGAGAAUGGGUUAAAUGUAAAAAUUUGCUUUUGUUGGCUUGAGAGAGUUUUGGAUUCUUCAGUGUCUAGUGAAUGAUGAGGUUCAAGGGUUGGCGGAGGGUAGACGGCUUUAUAUUGUAGAGAGAUGUUAUUAGACUAUUUUAACCUCGAGUGGCGCGGUAAUUACAUUUUGGUUCAAGAGCUACACCUAAACCGACUAAAUGCCAUGAAUGAUAACACAAAUUUUUUCUUUUUAAUUUUUUAUACCCUGAUCAUGUGUGUACUCUUGAUAAUCUUGGUAGCAAACUCGUGUUAUUGAAACUUCCAAUUUCAGUUAUUACUAUCUGGUAUUACAAAGUGAGUGCGAUUCAUACGAGAGUAUAUACUAUACUUAAAAAUGAUAUUAUCAUGAGAUUUUAUAACGUUUAUACAGAUUGACAAUAUUAUUUGACAUCAUAGCAUUCAUAUAUUUUAAAUUUAUUUAUUGACUAUUAUGUGAUCUGAACAUUUAAAAAUAACUAAUUUUAUAAACUGCACUUUACCUAAAUAAUCUUAUUUUUAUUGCUCUCGCCUUUAUGUGAUAGCAUGAAUUACAUGUUGACUUAACAAUUAGUAUUCUUGAUUUCAUUAUUUUGACCUAAUUUAGUGAUGGCAAGAAUUAUAUUAUGGUUUAACGAUAAUGAUAUUUUAGAAUAAUAAUAUUAUUAUUCUUAUUAUUAAUUUUUUAUUUUUAUCGAACAACAAUAUCUUGUGACAUUAUAACGUUCAUGCAUUUAAAAUCUAUUUAUGAGGAUGUUACGUGACCCGUUCAGAUGUAAACAAAUGCAUUAAUAGAAGUAAUUUUUUUAUUAUUACUAUUAUUAUUAUUUUAAAUAAUUUAACAAUAAAACAAAACAUGCUUGAGUUAUAGCAUGUAUGUCUUAUUUUGUACAAGGGAUUUGAAAAAAACUACUCAUCUAUAAGAUUACUUGACUUAUAAGAUUUAUUUCCAUACUUAAAAAUAUUGAAACAAGCAUUUAAUUAAUUGUUCAACAAGAGAAGAGAUUAUUCGGUUGAGGUGGGUGGUGGGUGAGAUAAAGGACGGUACCUGCGAUGAAAUGGCAAAAGUGAAAAGAAAUUGAAAUGAAGAGGGUAAAAAUGGGAAUUCAGGCCGAAACAUUUUUUGACAAUUUUGGGCUUGAUUAAAAAGGGAGCUAAUUACAAUUGGGGGGCCGGUGAGGGUUGGAGCCGUGUGGGUCAGGUGAGAGAAUGGCGUCAUGUGGUUCGUUUUGAUGGAGUUACCGCAUUUGCGCUCUGCGAGUCUGCAUGGACUACACUUGUACAAAUUUUCAUCAUCAUUUUUUUUUUCUCAAUCUUUUAAUUCCUUUCCGUAAUGGGCCUCCCAAUGAAGAUUUUUGUUAUUUAUGUCAUAAUAAUACAACAAUUAUAAUUUCUCCUUUUCAAAAAUAGUUAUUUGUUGAAGUUAUUGGGAAUUCACAAUAAUGAUACAUACUAAUUGGGGUUAUUUUAUUUGGCAAAUUAUAUGAGCUACCAAUUAGUGGUGGUUUAAAAUCCGGAAGCGCUAUCAAUGCAUGAGAAAUCUUAUAUAAACAAGUAACCGUAAAAUUUGGUCUAAGGUUAGGUUGAAGAGAUUUGAAAUUAGGCUUUUUUUUUGGGCAUAUUUAAUCACAUGUGAUUCUUGGUGGUUUCCUGUAAAGCAUUUUUACGAGUUCUAAAAAGCAUGUGGAUUGUCUUUGUGGCUACCUAAUUAUAUGAGGUGGUGAGCUAAAUUGACUGCACAAAAAUUUCCGCAGAAUCACCUAACUUGUAUUCAAUUCACUAUGUUUCGUAGCUUUCCGUACAAAAAAAUAUUGUUUAUUUCCAAUUAGAAUACAAAUUCUCUCUCCCUCUCUCUCUCUCUCUCUUUAGUUUUGGUCAAAUUACAACAUCGAUUUACAAAUAUUUCUCACUUUAAUUUGUUAUCCAACUCAACUUGAGUGAAAUUUCCCUACUGUUAUCUAUAGUAAAACAUUUAAAUAAGAACUUAGUAAUAAAAAAUUGUGGCCCCAACUUGAGACCAGUUAUAAUUAGGAAUAAACUCUAUAUUGUAAUAAGUUAUAUUUUUUUGUAGGACUCGUCUUAAAUAAACUUACCUCCACAUAAUAAUAAUAUUUCAAAAAUAUAUGUCAUGUUCCAUUAAAUAAUUAAGCUAAAACAAAAUAUCUUUUUAAAGUUGCUUGUGACAAUGAUUUGUUCUUUAAAGCUGCAACCACAUCUUCCAACUUGCGGGUAUGUAUUAAUUGGUCAGCAUAUGCGUCUUCUUGUUGAAUCCAAAAUAUUUAUAAUUUCUCAAGUAUGUUUGUAGCUUCUUGGCAUGAAACUUUUGUUUAUUUGUGUACUGUCAUCCUCAGGAUUAUCCCAUUUCUCUUCUUAUCUAAUUGCAUCAAUAAUUUCUUCUUCAAUUAAAGCAUACCCGACUUAUUGUUCACUUGGAUGAUUGAUGAAGACAUUAAUAUCCAUUUGAUUAUUAAUACAUGACAUAAUUUACCUCUAUAUCACUUGCAUUAGGGAUAAUUAAGUAAAGAUAAUAAUUUUUGUACUAUACCUCUAUUAAGUUAUAAGCUCUUUAUAAGAAUAAAUUUCAAUAAUAUGACUAUAAAGAGAUUUUACGGUACUUAUAUUUGGCAACAAAAUUUCACUAAUGUAGUACUUUUUUUUUUUUAAUAGAAGCUUUACUAAUAGAGCUAUUUCAAAGAUAACCUUCCAAUUACAUAGAUCGAAAUUGUAAAAAGGUAGAUAUAAAAUGGGUUGCAAUCUCAAAAGUCCUAUAUUUAAUUUAAUAAAUUGAGGAAAUUUAAAAUUGCACGUGUGUUGCAUUUUUCUUAACUUACGAAAAUUAAUCCUCUUAUUUUCUUUGCAUUUGAAUUUCUAACUUCUAGGAGUAUCGAAUUGAGGAAGAAGAUUGCGUGAUAUGUUUGUGUGUAAAGUGGAAAGCCCACUAUUGAACGUUUUGAUGGCUUCAAGCAAGAAGAAUAAUGAAGUGUCAUCAAUUAAGAUAGCUGCUGGCUUCAUAUAGGCUUCUGGCUAUAACUUGUGGCUCUGGUAAAAAACAUGAACUCAAGACCCAGAUUCAGAAUGAGGAUUUCGUGGGACUCGGUACUAAUUCAAUAUAGUAAUUAGUAAAUUGUUUAUAAAUAAUCUUCUUUCUUAAUGCCACCACAUAAAUUUCGGCCUCCGACAACUCUUUCUUUUCUUUACCAAAGAAUUGGCUUCAACUAUCAUAGGCUUGUUGAAAAGUCUAAAUAUAUAUUAUCAAGUAUUUUUAAGACAAGAAUACGUUCUUUAUUGAAUUCCAACUCCUUCUAGUAAUGGAAGGAGAAUGUAUGUAGUACGCGCACGAAAAAAUCACCCCAUUAUUUAUUAAGUUUUUAACAUAAAUACACCGCAUAAAUGAAUGUGAUUGACUUGUUAAAUAGUCGACAUAAUAUUUUAUGUUGGGUAAAAUUGUUCGAUUAAUCUCUGUAUUAUUAAAAAUACCAUAAAACAUCAUUGACGUUAAAUUAUUAACACAUUGCCAUUAAUUUUUGUUCCAUUUAACUUACUUUUAUAAUAUUACUCUCUUACAAUAGCAUUCCUUUUUUUUUUUUACAUUAAUAAAAAGAAAAAAAUCAAAUUACCAAUUUAACUCCAAAAAAUAAAAACAAAAAGAAAAUAUAUAUUAAUUUUUGUGGAACACUCUGCUGAGGAGUUAAUAUAUUAUUUUUUUAUUAAUGUUCAAAAAAUUGAUAAUUUAAUUUUUUUACAAUAUUAAUUUUGUUGGGACAUCCAUGAGCCUCUACAAAAUUAAUAUAUAUAUAUAUUGUUUUUAUUUUAUUUUAUUUUAUUUUUAGGGUUAAAUUGAUAAUUUAAUUUUUCUAUUAAUAUCCAAAAAAUUAUUAUAAGACGAUAAUAUUAGGGAUGACAAUGGGGAGGGGAGAGGAGGGGACCAAUCUCCCCGUACCCAUCCUCGAUAUUUUGUGUAAGUCCCCAUCCCCGUCAGAAUUAUUUGAGAGAAUCUUCAUCCCCUCCCCGAAUAAUAAUAGGGGAUCCCCAAGGGUCCCCGAUCCUCGAAUAACUAAUACAUUUUUUGUUUUCGAUUUUGAGUUAAUCAUAUUAAAAUAAAAAAUUCAAAUAAAAGUAAAGUUUGAAAUAUAUCUUACAUUAAUAUCCAUUACAAAAGUCACAUACAUUAAAUUAGUAAGUAACGCAGCAUGUAAGGGAUACAAACUUCUUUUACAAACUAUCGUGAAUAAAUUAAUAGUCUAAUACAAAAUUGUUACAAAUAAAAUCGAAUUUAGAUUCAAAAUUAACUUUUUCAAUGGUGGCAUGGCACUUUAUAAAUGUGGACUAUUCCCUUUACAACACAAUAGUUAAGUCAGAGCAAAUCAAGAGCAAAUAUUAGAUUAAAUUAAUAUUAGAUUAGAUUAAAUUAGAUAUUAAAAUUGUGAUUCGUUGUGGGCAAUUAUAACAUCUAAAAAUAAAUAAAAAAUAUAUUUAAGUUUAAAACAUUUAAUGAAUAUUAAAAUUAAAACAAAAUUUUUGGGCUAAUAGAAUUUACCUGGUUUUUUUAAUGUCCUAAAUAAAAAUUUAGGACUUUAAUUAGUUAAUUAGGCCUAAAAGUUUAAUAAUAUAAAUAUUUUGAUAUUUUUAUUUUUACCAAUAUUUAUAAUUUUAUUAUUCAAAAUUUAUUAUUUAUUUACUAGUAAUUUAAAAAAAAAAAAAAAAAAAAUUAAAAUGGGGAAAUGGGUAGGGGAUGAGGAUUCCACCUCAUCCCCGUCCCCUCCCCGAAUAAGAAAUUGGGUAAAAAAAUUUCCUCGUCCCUUCUCCGAAUAAGAAAUUGGGUAUGAAAUUAUCCUCAUACCCUCCCCGAAUGGGGAAAAUCUCCGAGGGUAUCUGUCCCCGUAGGGAUUUUUGUCAUCCCUAGAUAAUAUUAUAAAAGUAACCUAAAAAUGACAAAAAAUAACGACAUGGGUGUCAGUAGUUUGACAAUAAAAAUAUUUUGAAAUAUUUUUAAAAACAUAAAAACUAAACAGACACUAAUAUUGUAUUAUAAGGAAUAAAUGAGUUUUUACUCUAUGUUGGGUGAGAAAGAAUCUCUCUUGUUGGAAGAGAAAAGUAUUUUUACCAUGGCUACUAGGGCAAAGUGGCAACAUUGUGAAAUCAAUAAAGAAAAGAGGGUAGAUUAAUUAAUUAAGAAAAGAAGAAAUGCCGCACUUGCUGGAAUCUUCCGCAAGAUGUGACGUCUUACCAAGAGUUAAUCCAACAAAAAAUGGUGGAGUGAGAGAUGGAAAGUGAGGGAAUGUGAAGAAAGGUAAAUGGUGAAAAUUCGUCUUUUGCCAAAUAAAUAAAUAAAUAAAGGCGAAAAAGAGGUGCAUGCAUUAGAAUCUGGCGUACACAGGGAACAUCGAGAGAGUUGUGAAAACGACAAAAAGAAAAUGAAUUGGAAACGUUCAAAAAGCAAAAUGAAAGACAAAUGGACCCCACUCUUAAGACGUGUGUGCAUUACGACAAAGCUGUUUUGUGAAACAAAAACAUGUAUUAUAUAUAUAUAUAUAUAUAUAUAUAUAUAUUUUAUUUUUUUUUCCUUCAUUUGGAAGAUUAAAAAACACGUUUCUGUUUAAUCGCCCACUUGCAUGUUGCUUCUGGCCGUAUUAAUAUCUAUCAGAGGAAAUAAUGCUUCCACUGACCCCGCAGCUUAAUUUUGGCAUUAAAAAAAAAAAAAAUUCUAUCUAGAUUUAAGUAUAAAUUAAUCAAAGGGUCCUUCUAUCUUACAUGCAUGUAAGAUACAUUCCUCUCACAUGAAUAGUAUGUGGGUCCCACACAUACACUAUUCAUGUGAGGGGGAUGUAUCUUACAUGCAUGUAAGAUAGGGUUUGCCAGAUUAAUGGUGUUAUUUGUUUAUUAGUUGUGUUGUUUUUUUUUCUCAAGGUGCUUCAAUGAUCUAUCUAGAUCAAGAUGAGGAUUAUUAAUUUUCUAUACAUCGGUUUAGUGUAGAUUAUUUUCUUAAUCUAAAUUAGAGAUCGUCAAAGAGUAUCGGACUGCUUAAGCGAAAAAGUCUUCAAAUAAAAACAAGUGGGUUAAUUUCAUAUCAUUUUAAGAUUUUUCGUAUCAUUAUAGAAAAUUUGAUGAAGAAUGCGCUAUGCUUUCCCCCCUUAUUUGUGCCUUACUUUUGUUAUAAAAUUCCAAGUUGAAACACAACUUAUUAUAACAUUCUAAUGUUCAAUGUUUCUAUCCAUUGCCCAAACUUUUAGUUUUAAAAAAUUAUAACACUAUCAAAGGUUCGAGCUUCUAUAAGAGCAUAAUACAGAUUAGUUUCAGUACUCUUUCAAUUAUCAACUAAUUGAGUGGAGAUAAUCUCUCCCUUACGAAAUGUAAGUGGAAGAUGCACCCCUCGAAUAUUAGAGAGAGUUUAAAAUAUCUUGACAAGUGCUUCAGUGGGUUAAUGUAUGGCGGUAAUCCCAAUUGUUUAGUACGAUUGUGUAUAACAUAAUUCAAAAAAAAAAAUUGUUAACACUUUUAUUGUUGUUGUAGUAGCUUAACACACCACCAAACAAGUUGUAAUUAAUUAACUAAUUCUAAUGAAAUAUCAUAACCCCGACAUAUUUUCGUCUUCCAAAUCAUAUUAUGCUAUUUGCCAUUCUACCUUUCAACUCAUGAUAUACAAAUUAUCCAUUGACAAAGAUGACCAUUUUUAAUUAUAGGCAAUUUAAUGAAGAAUGCGCUAUGUUUUCCCCUUUAAUUGUGCUUUAUUUUUGUUAGAAAAUUCCAAGUUGAAACACAGCUAUCAGAAUAUUCUAAUGUUCAAUGUUUUUAUUCACUCACAUUUCGUAAGGGAGAGACUGUCUCCACUCAAUUAGUUGAUAAUUGAAGAAGAACUGAAACUAACUUCCAUAAUGCUCUUAUAGAGGCUCAAACGUUUGCACUCAAUAUUAUAAGUAUAAGAUUUCUCUCGUUGGACUAAAUGCUCAUUGGUAGAUUUUGAUUAUUAUUUAAUCGGCAACAUGGGCAUUCUAAAUUCUUUUUUUAUUUUUUAUUUUUCCAAAUGUUUUGGUGAAAAUUUUGACAUGACCCAUGAGCGAUGAUGAUCUCUAGGAGUAGAAGAAGGUGGAAGGCUCGUGGUGUACACGCUUCACAUUGAUACAAUUUGUCACAUUAAUUAAAUUUGAAUAAUUUUUUGUUGUUGUUAUGUGGAGAUAAUUCCUGGGUUCCAUUAUUUUUUUUGAACAUCAAGUGGACAAGUUGGUGGAAUAGUCGUUGCUCACACCAACGUCUGUUACGAAAGCAAAAUCAAUUUGUGUUGACCCUUUCAUAAAAACCCAACCAAAAAAACAAAAAAUCGUGUUGACCAAUUGCUGCCUAAUUUUGACUGAUCGAAUUGAACGUCUAUGAUCAGUCGAUCAUGAACCAAAACAGAGGUUACGCGACUGCUCAUUAAAGACAUGCGAUUUCUUUCUCGUGGACCCUCGAUUGUCUGAUGUUGAAGAAAGAUCAUAAAGUCAAGAUUUUUUUAAUUUAAUUUAUUAAAAUUUGACCCAUACAGAAUUUAAAAAAAAAAUUGUUUGGAUUUAUCUCUUAUUUAAGACUUGCAAAUAGUUUAUACAAAUUUUAUAAGCAAAUGGAGGUUGAAGUAGAAUUAUGAAAAGUUGGAAAAUGGAGAUAUAAUUGGAUAGAUAUUAAUAAAAUAAAAGCUUAAUGGAAAUAUGGAAUGCUUUUUUGUAUUGUGACCGAAAUUUGCCAACAUUUAAGACUUCAAAUAUUGUAAUAGUUUUCUAUCUAAAAGGUAGAGCGAUGAAGAAAGUUUAAAUUAACUAUUAAUUCUAUUUUUAAAAAAUUUUAAAUUUAAUUAAAUUAUCAAAUAAAAUUACUUAAAAACUACUCGAAAUAUUGAAAUAAUUUGUACAAAUGUUAAUUUGACAUGUGAAAGUACGAUCAUAAUGUUACUAUAUCAUUAUUUGGCAUAUAAAAAUUCAGGGGACAAUAUUUCAUUUUUCUCUAGUGGCUAUGGGACCUUCCUAUAAAAAUAUACUAUGUAUUAAAAAGUAUUUUUCUUUCUUUAUUGUGAUUGGAUGGUUUUAAAAUAAGUGUGUGUAUAUUGGACGCCGGCGCACAUAUAGUUUGAUAUGCCAAUCUCGUUCAAGCUUUUAUUUUAUUUUAUUUUAUUUUUGGUGCAAUUGCUAACCAAUAAACUCGUAAUUUAUUUUUGCUUUUGAAUAUACUUUCUAAUUUUGUUACGGCUUCAACAACGAAGGUACAAGAUUAUGCUUAUCUAUUAUGCAAAAGUGGAAGAUACUCAUUUUAUAAUAUUUUACAUGUAUGUCAAAUUUUUUUAUUACAAAGUAAUCACUUGGUUAGUCCACCAAAUGAUUAUUAGCUAUUACGAGCAAGUUGUAAACCUAACGGACAUACUAUAUUUUAUAUGGUUACUAAUCAAAGGCUACCGUGGUUUUGAACGUUUUCUUGUUUUUGAUGGCGGUAUUAUUAGUUGGAGCUUACUAAUCUCUAUGAAUUUAUAUAUAAAAUCAUUCAUUCUCUAGUGUGAGUAUUUUUAUUUUUAUUUUAAUACGGACGCGUUGUUAGUCACACAAUUUAAUAAUAUUAAAAACUGAUUCGAUUAAAAGUGUAUCCUAGAAAAAUGAGGACGUGCGCAAGACUAUCUAUAUAUCUAUAUAUCUAUAUAUCUAUAUAUCUAUAUAUCUAUAUCUAUAUCUAUCUAUAUAUAUAUAUAUAUAAAACUAGGACUUGAGGUGGUGAUGUGGCAUCACCAUUUUGCUUCUUUGUAUAUUCUCUAUUAUCUAAUAAAUAGAGAAUUUUUUUUUAGAUUUGGCUUUUCAUCUUCUCAUAAUUAAUUUGAUUGUAUUUAACUCAUUUAAUAAAUAGUAACUUUAUUAAUAUAUAUCAUUCCUCAUCUUUUUAUAUUUUCUAUUAUCUAAAAUAUUGGUGGAUAUUCUUUGUACUUUUUUUAUCUUUCUAAUUAAAUUCAACAAUAUGUAAUCAUUAAUAAUAAUUAAUUAUAAGUCUUUUGAAACAUUUAUUUAUUUUAUUAUGCUAGCAAUUAAACUUUAGUGGCUUAAAAUACAUGAAUUAAUUAACAUAGGAAGAUGAGUUCUUUCAUUUUCCCUCAGCAAUGCCACUAAUGCCUAAUUUUAAUACCAUAAUCACAUAUUUAAUUAUGCAACCUUUUGUUGAGUGUCUUUUGGCUUCUUCAAAAUUUAUUAUGCUAUCAAUUAAACUUUAGUGCGUUAAAAUACAUCACCUAAUUAACAUAGGAAGAGAGGUUCUUUUAUCUUCCCUCAACCUGAUCUUUUUAUAUUCUCUAUUAUCUAAAAUAUAUAAAAUAUUAGUGGAUAUUCUUUGUACAUAUUUCUUCCUCUUUCUAUUUAAAUCCAACAAUAUGUAACCAUUAAUAAUAAUUAAUUAUAAGUCUUUUGAAACAUUCAUUUAUUUUAUUAUGCUAGCAAUUAAACUUUAGUGGCUUAAAAUACAUGAAUUAAUUAACAUAGGAAGAGAGGUUCUUUCAUCUUCCCUCAACAAUGCCACUAGGGCCUAAGUUUAAUACCAUAAUCUUAUAUUUAAUUAUGUAACCUUUUGUUGAGUGCCUUUUGGCUUCUUCAAAUUUUAUUAUGCUAGCAAUUAAACUUUAGUGCCUUAAAAUACAUCAACUAAUCUAUAUAUAUAUAUAAAGUUGGGACUACAAGAGGUGAUGUGGCAUCACAAUUUCUCAUCUUCUCAUAUUCUCUAUUAUCUAAUAAAUUGGUUGAAAUUAAAAAAUAAUUACAUUACAAAAUAUUAAAAAUAGAAAAUAAUUAUUAGAUUAUAAAUGAUUACAUGUCUUUUCCUCUUUUUAUUUAAAUUCAACAAUAUGUAACCAUUAAUAAUAAUUAAUUAUAAGUCUUGAAACAUUUAUUUGUUUUAUUAUGCCAACAAUUAAAUUUUAGUGGCUUAAAAUACAUCAAUUAAUUAAUAUAGGAAGGAAGGUUCCUUCAUCUUCCAUCAACAAUGCCAUUAGAACCCAAUUUUAAUGUCAUAAUCCCAUAUUUAAUUAUUCAAUCUUUUGUUUAGUGCUUUUUGGCUUCUUCAAACUCUAUAAACAUUAAAUAUUUAAGAUUUGUGGCAUCAUUAUUUCUUCCUCUUUCUAUUUAAAUCCAACAAUAUGUAACCAUUAAUAACAAUUAAUUAUAAGUCUUUUGAAACAUUCAUUUAUUUUAUUAUGCUAGCAAUUAAACUUUAGUUGCUUAAAAUACAUCAAUUAAUUAACAUAGGAAGAGAUGUUCUUUCAUCUUCCCCCAAUAAUGCCACUAGGGCCUAAGUUUAAUUUUAAUAAUUUUAAUGUCUCUUCCUCUUUCUAUUGAAAUCCAACAAUAUGUAACCAUGAAUAAUAAUUAUUUAUAAAUCUUUUAAAACAUUCAUUUAUUUUAUUAUGCUAGCAAUUAAACUUUGGUAGCUUAAAAUACAUCAAUUAAUUAACAUAGGAAGAGAGACUCUUUCAUCUUCCUUCAACAAUGGCAUAAGGGCCUAAUUUUAAUGCCAUAAUCUCAUAUUUAAUUAUGCAACAUUUUAUUUAGUGUCUUUUGGCUUCUUCAAAUUUUAUUAUGCUAGCAAUUAAACUUUAGUGGCUUAAAAUACAUUAAUUAAUUAACAUAGGAAGAGAGGUUCUUUCAUCUUCCCUCAACAAUGCCACUAUGACCUAAUUCUUCUUAUUCUAAAUUUAAGUUUCAUUUGCUUGUCAUCAUCAGCAACACAAGUCGAUUAUGAUGCAACUACCAUUAUAAUUAAUGGAGAACAACGAGUUAUCUUCUCUGGUGCAAUUCAUUAUAUUUUCGCAGCAGUCCACAAGUAUUGUAUGCAAAUAAUUAAUUUACAAUUUCUCAAAUCACUUGCACUUUCACAUUUUCUUCUUCUUUUAACCCAAAAACAAGCUACUUUGCUGUGAAAAUAUUAUCUUAAUUUUUUUUUCCUAACAAGCCAAACAUGAUCCCACAUUCAAAACGGUGCGCUUUCAUGUUUAGGAAAAAUUAUGGGCAAUAUUUUUGGAUCCAACAACAUUGUUAUUCUUUAAAUAUGUAAAAUUUGAUAUGAUUUAUUUCUAUAUGCGUUGUAUUUGUGUAGAUGUGGCCAGAUCUUAUACAUAAGGCAAAGGAUGGAGGGCUCGAUGCAAUUGAAACUUAUAUUUUGUGAAAUGCUCAUGAGCCUCAGCGUCGUCAGGUGCCAAUUAUUAUUAUUAUUAUUAUUAUUAUUAUUAUUAUUAUUAUUAUGUGCGAUAGUUAUUAUUAUUGAAAUAAACAUACAAAAUUAACUUGUUUAAUCUUCCUUUUGAGAAGAGAUCAGAACGAUUUCUCAAGAAAUUUGAAUUUCAUCAAAUUUUUAAUUUUUAAUUUAAUAUUUUCAAAGCCGCGCGAAGCGCGGUUCUAUUUCCUAGUAUAUAUAUAAAGCUGGAACUUGAAGAUGUGAUGUGGCAUCACCAUUUCUCAUCUUUGUAUAAUCUCUAUUAUCUAAUAAAUAAAGAAUUUUUUAAAAAAAUUUGGCUUUUCAUCUUCUCAUAAUUAAUUUAAUUGUUAUUAAACUAUAACAAUUAUGUAAAGAUUUUAAUGAGGUAUAUUCUUUGUAAUGAACAUCCAAAGGAGAGUGUUAUGAAUUUAUUAAAAUAAAUGUAGAUGUUCAUAACAUAUAUCUCUUAGUCUCCCCACUAUCUUCCAUUAGCAACCUUUAGCUUCCUUAUAACUCCCACUAUCUCACAAGGAAUUAUGAUUAAUAAUUUUUCAUUAAUUUUAUGGAGUGAUUAUGUAACUAUAAAAGAAGAGCUCAUCUUUUUAUUUUGUACACACACAAUUUGAAUGAAUAAAAUCACUCUAUAAUAUAUUCUCUCAUUUUAUUCUUUAUUUUGCGUUGCUUCUUUAUUUGUAUUGUUGGCUAAUAACUUUUUUUUUAUUUUUUAUAAGGCUGCCUCAUCUUUAAAAAAAAUUAAUUCAUAUUUUUUAUUAGUUUCAUCAAGUGUAAAGUAAAAAAAAAUACUAAAUUCUUUUUUUAAAGUCGCGUGAAACGCGGUUCUAUUUUCUAAUAUAUAUAUAAAUAUGGGAAAAUUAUCAUGCAUAUGCCAACAAAUAAUUUAUGGCAGAAUUCAUUGUGAAGGAUUAUGUCAUUAUCAUGCAUACGCUGAAAGAGCAGAAGGAAAAUGAAUGAAGGCAUCAAGUAUAUAUCACCAGGGGCGGAUGCAAUGUAGGACGAUCGGGGGCUCAAGCCCCCACUGAAAAAAAAAAUCCAUUUUUGUUUAAAAGAAAAAUUAAUAAAUUUUUAAAUAAUCACUGUCAAAUUAUUAAAUAGCCCCAUUAUUUGAGUUUCUACAACCACAGUAGAGAGAACAUUUUCAGCAAUAAAAUUUGUGAAGAAUGAACUUCGGAAUCGGAUGGGAGAUGAAUGGAUGAAUGAUAAUUUGAUUGUUUGUGUAGAAAAAGAUAUAUUUAAUAGUAUUGAUAAUGAAUCUAUUGCACACCGUUUUUAGAAUAUGAAAUCGCGUAGAGUACGAUUGUAAAUGUAUUAUAAAAUUUUUUAUAUAUUCAAGUUUUAAUUUUUACAUUUUACUGUUAUUUAAUUUAACCCCCGGUAAAUUAUUUUUCUAGAUCCGUCACUGUAUAUCACAUUGUACUAUCUAUGAAAGUAACAACCAAGCCAAUAUCCAGGACCACCUUCACUCUUAUCACAAGAUGAGAUGUACAUGUUGAAUAUGGAAAUAUUGAUAGAGAUUAAUAAAAAUUAAAGUUGAAUAUAAAUAUGGAAUGCUUUGCUGUGUCAUUUAUUUGAAGGAUUCAUAUGUGACCCAAAUUUGCCAACAUUUAGAAGGACUCAAAAUAGUUUUUUAUUUGAAAUAGUUUGAACAAAAGUUAAAGGCGGCGAGUAAAAGUAAGAUCAUAAUCUUGCAUGCAUUGUCACGACUAUGGGACUAGUGACAUUGUGCUUCCCAUCUGACCAUACUAUUUUACCACUCUUCAUGCUUGAGCUCCCGGGGGAGAGCUUAACUGCCGUUGCUUCAACUCUAACCAGAAAGUUCAAUUUCUGUCCCACCCGCCUAAACACAGGCUUCUCCGGCUGUACUGUCACUGUCAUGCCACUGGGUGGCCUGAUUGUAACUUUGUAAGCCGAAUUAGGAUCUCCGACGUUAGUCACCGUCCUAAUGAAAUGCGUAGACAUCUUAUGCUUGCCGUAUUGUUGAAACACUGCAGACAAUGAAGGGUAAUUCAAAUUCCCAACAUGACCAGCUCUUGUUGCUCCGCUGCAAUCUGCUUUUCUCCUAGUGAUCACUUGAAUAUUAUUAACCGUGUAAUUUGAAUUGCACAAGAAAUUCACAUAAUCAUAUGAAGUCAAAUCAUAAAUCAGCCCAGGAUUCAUUGCCUUUUGGGGGUGAACAUGACCAGCUCCAAAAUCUAACGCAGUGGAAGUAUUCCCAGUAGACUCAUCAAUCAUCGUCUCACCCCGAUUAUCAACUGUAUAAGCAGUUGUCAUCAAUGCAGACCUUAUUGCUGCAGGGCUCCAAUCAGGGUGUGCCGCCUUUAACAGAGCAGCAAGCCCAGAAACGUGUGGGCAAGCCCAGAAAUUGGAUAACUUUAUAUACCAUCAUCAACAUCGUGCAGUCACGCAAUUCUAUGUACAACAAGAAAUCCAUUGUUUUCCAUUACAAGAUCAGAAAAAUGAAUUUUCCCACUAUCUAUAUAACUGCAACACACUAAAAACCAAACAAAUGACAAAGAGAUAACUGAAAAAAUUACUACCAAAUGGUUACACAAAAAGGUAGAUCAAGUGAUAAUUUUAUCUCCUCUUAAGAUCCCAGAACCGAAAAUUUCAACCAUUUCACAUAAAACAAAAUAUAGAAAAAAAAAAGAGGAAAAAUUUAAGCUUCCAUUUUAUAAAGCUAAGCAACAGAAACCUCUAAUCCAACCAAUAUAAUAGAUCAUGUCAAUAGAUGCUUGAUUUGACUGACCAAGCAAACUAGUGAAUAAUCUAUGCAAGUCUGGACAUCCCAUCUAUCUAAACAAAGAAGAAAAAAUUCCAAGAAAGAACAUCUCUAAAAUAUGAUCAUCAGAAUUAUCGAUUGAACAUCUGCAUCACAAAACUAACUUCCAACAGCACAAAUUAAAAAUGUCAAUUCAAGGACAAAAGAAAAGCUUGAUUGGAACAAAUGAUCCACAAACCAGGAUCAAAAGCCAACAAGGACUUUAAACUCCAACCCAACAAGAAACUUCUUUUAUACAAAACAAAAAUCAGAACUUUAGAUGACAAUCAGCGCCAAGUCAUAAAAAAUUAUUUUUACCCCUAAAAUAAAGACAAAGGAAAGUGAAGAUCAAAGCAUCUACUCAAAUUCCAUAACUUGUUAAAAAUUAAAAUAAAAAACAGAAAAUAAGCUACCAAAAAAAAAAUAUUACUACAAUUAUUUAAUCUAACUUUGAAAUUUUUUUCUUAAUCUUAAUUCUUUUUUUUUUCCAAAGAUGAUUAAUAAAAUUUUUCUUCUUUCUUGGUGCAGGAUUAGCUAAAUUAAAAAACUUGGAAGCGUUGGAUUUGAGUGAUAAUUAUAUUAUACACGGUUCUUUAGAAUGUAAUUUUUUUAAUUAAACAAUUUGCACAGUUAAUUUUCAUUCAAUAUUUACCAUAUUAUUUAAUUAAACAAUUUAGAUGAGAGUGACCUAGCUAUUAUUGAAAAAAUUUAUAUUUUUUUAAACAAGAUUAGCAAAUUUGACAAACCUGCAAGUGUUUGAUUUAAGCGAUAAUAAUGAAAAUUUGACAACGCUAGGUAAGCCACAACGUCUGAGAUAAGAAGCAAAUUAAGAAUUAAUGUUUAUCAAGUGCACGGAUUACAUACAAUGCUUUUGAAUGUAAUAUUUUCAUUCAAAAGCAUUGGAUCUUCGUGAUUGUGGAAUAACCACAAUUCAAGGUCUACAGCAAUUCACUUCCUAUUAAUGUCGAAUUUAGAAAAAGUUUUCGACAGCCCUCUCUUUUUAGUGUUUUUAAAGUAUUAUUGAUAAAUGUAUAUAACAACCCAAAGAUUAUAAACAUUUUUUAAAAUUUAUUGACUUAAUUCUUCUAUUCCUCUAUUUUUUUCCAAAAUAGUACAAGCUUAUCCGUAACAUGGCCAAGUAAUAUUUGAAUUUUGAUAAAUAGUUUAAUUAUUUAAAAAAUAGUUAAAUUGAAAAGCUUGGAAGCAUUGUAUUUGAGUGACAAUAAUAUAAACGGUUCUUUAGAAAGCCAAGGUAAAAUUUUUAAAUAAAUGGCUUACAUAGAUUUGAGUGGCUUACCUAGCGCUGUCAAAUUUUCAUUAUCGCUUAAAUCCAACACUUGCAGGUUUGUCAAAUUUACUAAUCUUAUUAAAAAAAUAUAAAUUUUGUCAAUAAUAAUUAAGUCACUCUCAUCUAAAUUGUUUAACUAAAUAAUAUAAUAAAUAUUGAAUGAAAAUUAACUGUGUAAAUUGUUUAAAUAAAAAAAUUACCUUCUAAAGAACCGUGUAUAAUAUAAUUAUCACUCAAAUCCAACGCUUCCAAGUUUUUUAAUUUCGAUGACCUCUUCAGCUCCGGCCAGAGAUACUCCGCCGUCAGCUUCUUUGGCCGGCCCGGCACGGUGGGCGGGAUGUAGCCCGAAAUGAUAGCACCUCCACACAUGGUUAAGGGUUUAUCGUUUCUUCUGGUUUGUUCAGGGACUAAAGAGAAAAGAUUUUUAGAAGAGAAUGGGUUAAAUGUAAAAAUUUGCUUUUGUUGGCUUGAGAGAGUUUUGGAUUCUUCAGUGUCUAGUGAAUGAUGAGGUUCA